rnacentral:ncRNA from 1 species
CUUUGUCAAUAGCAAACCCGGCGAAAGCCGGCGACGCAAAGCUACAGGGGCUAAAGCCGUAAGGCUAUGCCAGCCAGCUGCCGAA